rnacentral:rRNA from 1 species
UACGAAGGGUGCUAGCGUUGUUCGGAAUUACUGGGCGUAAAGCGCACGUAGGCGGGUUGUUAAGUCAGGGGUGAAAUCCUGGAGCUCAACUCCAGAACUGCCUUUGAUACUGGCAACCUAGAGACUGGAAGAGGUUAGUGGAAUUCCCAGUGUAGAGGUGAAAUUCGUAGAUAUUGGGAGGAACACCAGUGGCGAAGGCGGCGCGCUGGACCGGUUCUGACGCUGAUGCGCGAAAGCGUGGGGAGCAAACGGG